rnacentral:rRNA from 1 species
GACGUAGGGCGCGAGCGUUGUCCGGAUUUAUUGGGCGUAAAGAGCUCGUAGGCGGCUUGUCGCGUCGAAUGUGAAAACUCGGGGCUCAACCCCGCGCUUGCAUUCGAUACGGGCAGGCUCGAGUUCGGUAGGGGAGACUGGAAUCCUGGUGUAGCGGUGAAAUGCGCAGAUAUCAGGAAGAACACCCGUGGCUAAGGCGGCUCCUCUAGUACGGUACUGACGCUGAGACGCGAAAGCGUGGGGAGCGAACAGG